AAAUUGCACAAGUCCUGGAAAAAUAUAUAUCAAGCAGGCUAAACAUUAUACUCCAAAAGCAACUAAAUUUAUAACGCCAGAUUGUAGUUUUAAAAACAUCCUCAUGGGAUUAAUGCCAAUCACUCUCAAAGUAACCCCCGGAGAUGAGGUUAUUUUGGAGAACAUUAUUUUAGAUGAGGACGAGAGAGUUGAUCCUUCUAUCAUCAAGGGUUUUCAUGAAGAAUUUAAAGAUAAAUAUGUGUGCAUAUUUAUGCUCCCCAUGUCUCCUGGCCAUAAGAAAUCUAUGGUUCUUGAUACUACCAGGUUGAGGGACGUUCAUGAGCAAAUUAAGUCUUCUGGUGGAAAUUUUAGUGUCAUUUGUGUGCCUCCACAUAUAGAGCAUAAUAAAAAUGAUUUUGAAUACUUCAAUCCAUACCAUGAACACUUGGAGAUCAAAUUUUGCACUUCAUUUCAUCAUAUUCAUCUCGAUGAUUCUGCAUGCUUGAAGCGGAUGGAGAAUAUGAUUGGUAUCCCGAAAGAUCCGGAAGCAGCCUAUGUUAUCCUUGGUCCUAUGAAUGGUUCGUGCAGAAAGGUUGUCAGUAUCCUUAAUAGUGACUUUUUCAAGUGGCAUGGAGCUGAUGCUUUUCCGUUCACCACAGAAAAGAUAGAACAACUGACAUGUGAGGA